GUAGGUGAACCUGCGGAAGGAUCAUUACAGAGUUCAUGCCCUUAUGGGUAGAUCUCCCACCCUUGAAUACUAUACCUUUGUUGCUUUGGCGGGCCGCUUCGGCUACUGGCUCCGGCUGGUGAGUGCCCGCCAAAGGAUCCCAAAACUCUGAAUAUUAGUGUCGUCUGAGUACUAUAUAAUAGUUAAAACUUUCAACAACGGAUCUCUUGGUUCUG
rnacentral:misc_RNA from 1 species